UUUGGCUCUCGUUGCAGGAUGAGCCCACAUCCGAUUAGCUAGUUGGUGGGGUAAAGGCCUACCAAGACGGCGAUCGGUAGCUGGUCUGAGAGGAUGAGCAGCCACACUGGGACUGAGACACGGCCCAGACUCCUACGGGAGGCAGCAGUGGGGAAUUUUCCGCAAUGGGCGCAAGCCUGACGGAGCAAGACCGCGUGGGGGAGGAAGGCUCUUGGGUUGUAAACCCCUUUUCUCAGGGAAGAACACAAUGACGGUACCUGAGGAAUCAGCCUCGGCUAACUCCGUGCCAGCAGCCGCGGUAAUACGGAGGAGGCAAGCGUUAUCCGGAAUUAUUGGGCGUAAAGCGUCCGCAGGUGGUGGGGCAAGUCGGCGGUUAAAGACUGGGGCUUAACUCCAGAAAGGCCGUGGAAACUGCACCACUAGAGGGCAGUAGGGGUAGAGGGAAUUCCCGGUGUAGCGGUGAAAUGCGUAGAGAUCGGGAAGAACACCAGUGGCGAAAGCGCUCUACUGGACUGCAACUGACACUCAGGGACGAAAGCUAGGGGAGCGAAUGGGAUUAGAUACCCUGGUAGUC
rnacentral:rRNA from 1 species